rnacentral:rRNA from 1 species
AGAGUUUGAUCCUGGCUCAGAACGUACGCUGGCGGCACGCCUAACACAUGCAAGUCGAACGCAGUAGCAAUACUGAGUGGCAAACGGGUGAGUAUAAUGUGGGAAUCUGCCUUUUGGUUCGGAAUAACACGGGGAAACUUGUGCUAAUACCGAAUAAGCCCUUACGGGGAAAGUUUUAAUGCCGAAAGAUGAGCCCGCACUUGAUUAGCUAGUUGGUAAGGUAAAAGCUUACCAAGGCAAUGAUCAAUAGCUGUUCUUAGAGGAAGACCAGCCACAUUGGGACUGAGACACGGCCCAGACUCCUACGGGAGGCAGCAGUGGGGAAUCUUGCACAAUGGGGGAAACCCUGAUGCAGCGAUGCCGCGUGAGUGAAGAAGGCCUUUGGGUUGUAAAACUCUUUCGUCGGGGAAGAAAAUGACUGUACCCGAAUAAGAAGGUCCGGCUAACUUCGUGCCAGCAGCCGCGGUAAUACGAAGGGACCUAGCGUAGUUCGGAAUUACUGGGCUUAAAGAGCUCGUAGGUGGUUAAAAAAGUUGAUGGUGAAAUCCCAAGGCUCAACCUUGGAACUGCCGUCAAAACUUUUUAGCUAGAGUGUGAUAGAGGUAAGUGGAAUUUCUAGUGUAGAGGUGAAAUUCGUAGAUAUUAGAAAGAACACCAAAUGCGAAGGCAACUUACUGGGUCACUACUGACACUGAGGAGCGAAAGCAUGGGUAGCGAAGAGGAUUAGAUACCCUCGUAGUCCAUGCCGUAAACGAUGUGUGCUAGACGUUGGAAAUAUAUUUUUCAGUGUCGCAGCGAAAGCAUUAAGCACACCGCCUGGGGAGUACGACCGCAAGGUUA